CACCUGUCCGCUCCAGCAGGCACAGACAUCUAGACCAGCAGGUCUCACACCUGCUGCGCCCAAGAGCUUUUGAGAAACACCUGCCUGGAUCCCGUGCUCCAUGGGCUGGUCCCGUGCUACCUGGGCUGGAGGAGGGGUCCUGAGGGGCAGAUAUGUUUAUAAACUCCCUGGAUGGGAAUUCCCUGGCAGUCCAGUGGUUGGGCCCGGGGCUCAAUCCCCGGUUAGGGAACUAAGAUCUUACAAGAGGUGUGGCAUGGCCAUAAAUAAAUACAUAAAAACUCCCUGGGUUAGGCCCUGGCUAGGGCUUAGAAAUGCCCUUUUGAACACGUUAGUAAGUUAACUAAGUGGUGCCGGUAGGAAGUCAAGGGAGGGACUCACCGCCGCUGCUAGGAGGGUGCAGGGAGGAGACAGCCCAGUGGACUGCAAGGGUGAGUAGGGCUUGGUGGGACAGACAGUGGUGGGGUAGAAGAUUCCAGACAAAAGGACUGGGGAGGGGUGCGUGGGAGCCUGUGGGAGGUGUGAGAAAGGGUUUCUCCACCACAGAAUUCUAGGACGGAUCGGCGGGGGGGACAGGGACCCAGCGCCUGGUGGGCAAGGCUGCUCACCGGACUCCACGCCCCGCGUGCACGACUGCUCCUGCCCAGCCGGAGAACGCAACGUGGAGAGCUCACUGCUCUGUUCCGUGUUUGCCCGGAUCAGUGCUGGCGUCAGGUUUGUCGCCCGAGGCCCCGGUACCAUAACUGCUUUCAAACGUCCCUAUGGGGAGGCCCACUUUCUUGCCCCUCCUCCUGUCUCCCACGUCUUCUUCACGUGGGAGUCCGGGAUCCGAGCCCCGGCUUCCGCCGGCGCCAGGAAGGCUGGAGGGAGGCGUGGGGGACAGGUGGGCAGGGGCGCGGUCACUGCGGAUCCACCCUCCCCACCGUUCUGCCGCCUCCUCCGUCAUCACACCACCCGCCACCGCGAGGAAGCCACACCGCGCGUGGGUCAGGGCAAGGCCCUGCUGACCCCGAGCCGAGCCCGCUGGACACCGGUUAGCCAGCGGUCUGCGCUUAGCCCAGGCCCAGGCCAAUCAUCGGAGGGUACGUCAGCACCCUAGUGCCUGAUUGGCCAGGACUGGGCAGAGCCGGCCCAGUCAGAGUGGAGCUUCCCUUCCCCUUGGACGCGAAGGGAGAGCUGCGCAGGUCCUUGAGUUUCCAGCAGCCUUUUCGCUGCGACCUCCCACGUGGUACUGGCAACAAACUCCGUCAACGUUUGAUGUCUAAGAACAUGAAAUCCAUGUUAGCGCAGUGGCCCGUGGUGUCACCAAGGACCCGUGCUCCUCCCGUCUGUCCAUGCUGCCAUCCCCACUGUGACGACGUUCCUGUCACAUCACGGAUGUGGGAAGGCUGCAAGGCGCCAGACAUCACAUCCAGACCCACAGCUCCAGCAAGAAACGAGGAGCAUGUCCUCUUUAUGAGCCUCCUUUAUGUGAGGAGACUUCCCAACACUAGGAUCCAUUGGCUUAAACUCGUUUUAAACCAAUUGCAGGAAGAGGCAUGGAGUUACUGACAUUGGCUUACACAGAGCAACUUACCCCAGCCAUAUAGAGGGUGGUGGCUACCUGGACCAUGGUGGGUUUCUGCCAGUAAUGACAAAGAAGGCAAUCUUGCGGCUACCACAAUGUCUACUCCCAUAUGAAAUUAACACUGACCACUGAAUAAAACAGGCAUUCCUGCGAGACACCCAGCCUUUA